UACAGAGGGUGCAAGCGUUAAUCGGAAUUACUGGGCGUAAAGCGCGCGUAGGCGGCUGAUUAAGUCGGAUGUGAAAGCCCCGGGCUCAACCUGGGAACUGCAUUCGAUACUGAUCGGCUAGAGUAUGAGAGAGGGAGGUAGAAUUCCACGUGUAGCGGUGAAAUGCGUAGAUAUGUGGAGGAAUACCGGUGGCGAAGGCGGCCUCCUGGCUUAAUACUGACGCUGAGGUGCGAAAGCGUGGGGAGCAAACAGG
rnacentral:rRNA from 2 species